UACGGGGGGGGCAAGCGUUGUUCGGAAUUACUGGGCGUAAAGGGCCAGUAGGCGGCCGACUAAGUCCGACGUGAAAUCCCCAGGCUUAACCUGGGAACUGCGUCGGAUACUGGCCGGCUUGAAUUCAGGAGAGGGAUGCAGAAUUCCAGGUGUAGCGGUGAAAUGCGUAGAUAUCUGGAGGAAUACCGGUGGCGAAGGCGGCAUCCUGGACCGAGAUUGACGCUGAGGAGCGAAAGCUAGGGGAGCAAACGGG
rnacentral:rRNA from 1 species